AAAUCUUAAUUUAUUUGUGAACUUAAUGAUUCAGAGUUAAUCAUUUUGUGUGACUUUUUUCUGGGAGAAUAUCUGAGAACAAAAAAUUUUAAGAGUAAAUAUAUAUAAUUUUUUAAAAAUUUUGCGUUAUUGGAUUAAAAUUCCUUAGGGAACUAUUAAAAUCUUUUGCUUGCUGUAAGAGCAAGAAUAUGGGGCAAAAGUCCUGAGAUGGAGUUCUGUUUAACAUGUAGCAAGCAGUACCAACAGAAACACUAGUCUGAAGCAGUAUGUGGGGUACUGAGGGAAAGUGAUCAAGAUCUAGAAAAGAAUGUAAAGAUGACACUUGAUCAUCCUUACUUUAAAAGGAACACGAGAUCUAAUGGUGAAAAUGUGUAAACAAAUAAUUGUAAUACAUUGAGAUAAUUGCAUAAUACUUUUUACAUAAAGCUUCAAAGUAGGGGCUGGAGUAAUUAAUUUUGAAGGUUAGUGACAGCUUCAUAGAGGAGCCUAAUGGGUUUUAAGGACGAAUAGUGAUUUGCCAGAUGGACAAAGUUUUGUCUAAGUAAUUUAGCAUGUGCAGUGACAAUAGAGGUGAGAAAGAGCAUUAUGAUGUGUUUGGGGAAAUUUUUGAGUAGUUCUUUGUGGUGGAAUGUGAAGUGUUCAUAAGAGUAAGAGGGAGAUGAGGCUGGAGAGGGAACCAUUAAAGGUCUUAUUGGGGCAGGAGUUACUUUGAUAGAUCUGGUCUUCUGUAGCCCUUUUCUCCAAAUCCUCCUUUUAGAGUUCCCUUUCUUCCUGCUUAUUAGCUGCUCUCCUAGCUUUAGAUGCCAGUGCUAUGGAACUGGGGAAGUGUUCUUUCCUUUCCUAGGUAAUUUGUGGUAAGGUUAUUGAAAGGGAUAGGGAAGGAAGGAAUGUACAGUCCUGUUGCCAUUUGUGCAGGGGGUUAGAUGACUGGCAUAUGAAAUUGGACUUCUGAAUAUUGCUAUACGUGGUGGUUUGGGUUGCUAAAUAAAAUCAGGUACACCAAUCUUCAUGGCUUUUGAAUUUUUUUGAGUUCCAAAUUAUGAAUGAACUUAAACACAAACAAUCAUCAUAUGAUGAUGACCACUAUGAAUAGAAAAGGUUUGAUAAACCAGUUAGUCACAAGAUUCUUGGAGGCAUGUUUGAUUUAUGUGGUUUAAUUGCUGACAUCUGUUUAUCUGCAAAUGAUAUAUUAAUUUUCAGUCAUUCAUAGGUUUUCUAAAGCUGGCUCUGUACCAAACAAGACUUUAUUAGCUAGUUUUGUAGAAAUUAAUAUGCUCAUUAGCAAUUGCAUCGUGAGUGUCUACUGUGUAUCUGAGUUACUGUGUUUGAGAUUAUUGAGAAAUCCAAAAGUGAAAUUGCUGAUCACAUCCUCAGUCUAGUAGGGAAGGUGAUAUAUACAGAUAGCUGUAUUAACAGGUAAUGUGAGAUAAAAUUCAUGUCAAUGUUGUUGAAAAUCAUAGGAGAGAAAGAUACUGCUUUUGAUAAGGGAGAGAACUGGACCCUAAAUGAGAAGUAGUCAGGAACAGUAGGUAUUUGAGAUGGGGAAAACAACAUGAGCAAACAUUUGAGGGUAGGAAGGUUGGAAGUGUGUUUGGGGAACAAAGGAGUCUGUUUAAUUGUAGAGGGUGAAUGGGGUGCUGUGGAGCCAGAAAAGAGAUUGGUUUGGGAGUAAGGAGAAAUACAGUUGGAGCAUUUGAGGAGUAUGGUUUUUAUCGUAAAAAAAAAAAAAAAAUUGUGAGUAUGUGGAGUAUGGUUUUUAAUCAUAAAACCUUUAGAUAUAUCUCACCUCCAGGUAGCUUCUGGUUACUGUAGAGCUGAUUUUCAAAAUUGUAUUAUAUCUUUAUUUUCUGUCACUAGUGCUAAAAUACAGAAGACAAGGAGUUUGGCUGAUCUUGAAGUUGGAAAUGGGAUUUUGCUGCUUUAUGCUUUUUAUGUUACUUUAAUUAUUACAGACUGCAUUAAUAGUGGCAGUAUCUAAGGUUUCUGGAUUUCUGAGUCCAUAGAUUGCUCAAGAAUUAAUGAAAAAGUCUUCCAAACAGAAAUGAUACAUACCUAAUUUUGAUCUAGACAUAGAGAUUUUAUAAAAGUUUAAGGUGACUUUUCAGUCUUUGGUGUUUCACAAAAUCUGAUCAAAUCAAUUUAAUUAGGACAUAACUUGCAUUAUAGGCAUAAUAGCUAAUAAGAUUUAAAGAAUCCUUUCUGUCUUGCACCAUAACACAAUCCUUACAUAAAUUGAGACUCUACU